AUGAACGCUGGCGGCGUGCCUCAUACAUGCAAGUCGAGCGAACGGACGAGAAGCUUGCUUCUCUGAUGUUAGCGGCGGACGGGUGAGUAACACGUGGAUAACCUACCUAUAAGACUGGGAUAACUUCGGGAAACCGUAGCUAAUACCGGAUAAUAUUUUGAACCGCAUGGUUCAAAAGUGAAAGACGGUCUUGCUGUCACUUAUAGAUGGAUCCGCGCUGCAUUAGCUAGUUGGUAAGGUAACGGCUUACCAAGGCAACGAUGCAUAGCCGACCUGAGAGGGUGAUCGGCCACACUGGAACUGAGACACGGUCCAGACUCCUACGGGAGGCAGCAGUAGGGAAUCUUCCGCAAUGGGCGAAAGCCUGACGGAGCAACGCCGCGUGAGUGAUGAAGGUCUUCGGAUCGUAAAACUCUGUUAUUAGGGAAGAACAUAUGUGUAAGUAACUGUGCACAUCUUGACGGUACCUAAUCAGAAAGCCACGGCUAACUAUGUG
rnacentral:rRNA from 1 species